UCUGCUACCCUAGCACGUCUCUGUCUGCCUCUUUGGCAAGGUUUUGGUUUUCUUGAGUAUCUCUCGUUUCAGCGGUAUCCCUUCUGAUUUAGAGUUUUUGCACAGAUUUUUCCACUUCCACUAUUUUAACAGGCGUCUAUGGAGUCAGAUUUUGCUGGACUAUCCCUUGAUGAAGAAGAAGAAGAGAUCCUGCAAGUACAAAACGAUUCAGAUCCGGUGAGUGAGGAAGAAAUUCUUAGUCUGGUUGGUUAUUUUCUUACAGCCAGUAUCAUACAUUAUCCAGCAAUGAAAAGCACCAUGGCAAAUUUGUGGCAUCCUGUCAGGGGUGUUCAAAUCAGGGAUCUGGGGGAGAAAAGGUACUUAUUUAAAUUUUUUCAUAUUAUAGAUAUGGAAAGAGUUAUUAAUGGUGCUCCUUGGACAUUUAAUAAUCAUUUACUGAUUUUGCACAAGCUGAAAGGAGGGGAAGACCCCCUGAGAGUUCCAUUAAUUUCUUCACCGUUCUGGGUUCAAGUUCACGGGGUGCCCAUUGGAUAUUAUUCGGAGAAUUUGGCUAUGCAAUUAGGAAAUUUUAUUGGAAAUUUUCAAGAUUAUGAUGGCUCUAGUUUGGGGAAAGAAAAUAUGAAUUUUAUGCGUAUUAGGGUUCAAGUUGAUAUUCGGCUUUCGCUAAAAAGGAAAAAACAAGUUAAGUUUCGCAACAAAUGCUCAUAUGUUAGAUUUCAAUAUGAAAGACUUACUCUUUUUUACUUCUACUGUGGCCGUUUAGGCCACAAUGAUUCCUUUUGUGAAGCUAAAAUGGAGGCUGGGGCUGAUGUUAAUGAACUGGGAUGGGAUUUGUCCUUGCGAGCACAGUCCAGAAGAGCCCAAGCAAUGAAUAGUGCCUGGUUAAGGGAGGAAGGAGGUUUUGAAGGGGGAACGACUAAAAGGGGAGCAUUUAGGGGAAAUAGAGAUUGGGGAUGUGUCAAAAAAAUUCGAGGGAAUUGUUGAUCCUAUUCUAGGUUUUAAUCUGGAAGGUAAUAGGCUCUCCUUACAAUCAGAAAGGAAAAGAGCUUCAUUUGCUGAUAAUCAAACAGCCAUGGAACAUGAUUUGGAGAAUGAGUUGAUUAUUGGGGAGGAAGGGAAAAAAAGAGUGAGGGAGGAUACCGAAGAAAGGAGUGUUAUGGAAGGGAGAAUCAGGAGGGUACCUGACAGCAAUCUUUCAUUAUCGGCGGCUGCCAAGAGGCAAGCCGGCCGGCCGCAAUGAAAAUCUUAAGUUGGAAUGUUCGAGGUUUGGGGAAUCCUUGGACAGUUCGUCGGCUUCGGUAUUCUUUGAAGCUUCAAAUCCCCAGGUCAUUUUUUUGAUAGAGACUAAAAUAAACAAGAAAAUGAUGGAAAAAAUACAAGGAAGCUGUGGUUUUCAGUGUGGAAUUGAUGUAGAGUCGGUUGGGUCUAGAGGAGGACUUUGUCUAGCUUGGCAAGGGAAUGUUAAUAUUGUGCUUCAAAGCUUUUCAAAUCGUCAUAUUGAUGUGAUUGUUGGCGAAGGGGAUGGGGGAAAGUGGAGACUCACAGGGUUCUAUGGUUCUCCUUAUUCAGGUGAAAGAGAAGAAUCUUGGAAUUUGUUGUGACAACUUAGUACUCAGGGUGAUUUUCCAUGAAUGGUUUGUGGGGAUUUUAAUGAAAUCUUAUACGGUUUUGAGAAGAAAGGUAGAAUACCUAGAGAGGAAAGGAGAGAAGCUUUUCGAAAGGCUUUAGAUGAUUGUAAUCUGAUAGACUUGGGUUAUUCAGGCAAGCGGUUCACGUGGGAGAGGGGUAAUUUGCCAGAAACAAACAUUCAAGAAAGACUUGACAGAGGAGUGGCAACAGAGCAAUGGCAUUCUUUAUUCCCUAAUACUCUUAUUCAACACCUCCCAUAUUCAUUUUCUGAUCAUUGUCCACUUCUUAUUGAUAUGAACUUCAGAGUUAAAAGGGCGACAGAAAAGAAUUUCAAAUUCGAAGCUUGGUGGGUUUUAAAGGAGACAUUCUUCAACGAAAUCAAACGUAUUUGGGAAAAUUCCACAGGAGAUUUUUUAUACAGGCUGGAAAACUUAAAAAGAGGAUUAGAGAGGUGGGGAGCUUUGGUUCAGCAAAGGAGGAAGAUGAAUAAAGAGGCUUUAACUUCUAGACUGGAAGUUUUACUUGAAUCAGAGAGAAGUGAUGAGAACCUGGCAGAGAUUAUUGAUACAAAACUCCACCUGAACUUUGAGAUUGACAAGAAUGAAAGAUAUUGAGAGCAAAGGGCCCGAAUUAACUGGCUGAAAUAUGGAGAUAGAAAUACAGCUUUCUUUCACAAACAAGCGUCUCAAAGAAGGAAGCAUAAUAGGAUCCAAAGGUUGCAAUUUGAAGAUGGAAGGGAGACAGAGGAUUGCAGGGAGAUGGAGGUCAUUGCUAGUUCAUAUUUUUUAAAGUUAUUUUCAGCAGGAGGGCAAAAUUGCUACGUGAAAAUUUUAUCAGGCAUUGAUAGAUGUAUUUCUGAGGAAGAUAACAGUAAACUAAAGGCAAGGUACACGAAGGAGGAGAUACGGGAAGCUCUUUCAGAAAUAGGACCGACAAAGGCUCCAGGAGAGGAUGGUUUUCCAGCCUUAUUUUAUCAAAAAUGCUGGCCAAUUAUUGGUGAUGACGUCUCCAAUUUUUGCCUCUAAAGAUUAAAUGAAGGUAUGGAUUUGCGUUCAAUUAACAAAACAAACAUUGUGCUCAUCCCAAAAAUCCAGAAUCCCUCAAGCAUUAUUCAGUUUAGACUUAUUAGCUUAUGUAAUGUGAUCUAUAAACUGAUUGCUAAAGUCAUUGCAAAUAGACUUCGGGGAGUAAUUCAUAAAUGUAUUGAUUUAGUACAGAGUGCUUUUGUUCCAGGAAGGUUGAUUUCUGAUAAUGUGCUACUUGCUUAUGAAAUUCUUCACACCUUAAAGCUCAAGAGGUUGGGAAAAAAAGGAUUCAUGGCUGUUAAAUUGGACAUGAGUAAGGCUUACGAUAAAGUUAAAUGGGGUUUUGUGGAAGGGGUGAUGAAAAAAAUGGGCUUUUAUCCAGGAUGGGUUGAGUUAGUAUUGAAAUGUGUCUCUUCGGUCUCGUAUUCUGUAAUUUGCAAUGGCAAUACUGGACGAACGUUUCUUCCAUCUAGAGGUCUCAGACAAGGGGAUCCUCUAAGCCCGUUUUUAUUUCUUUUUUGUAGGGAGGGAAUCUUAAGUUUAAUGAGGCUUGCAGAAAGAGAUAAUGUUCUUAAAGGUGUUAAAGCAAGUAGAAGCGGGCCAGCUAUAACUCACUUAUUGUUUACAGAUGACUGCAUUUUAUUUGCAGAAGCUACUGAAAGGGGUGCGCAUUCAUUGAAACAGAUUCUGAAGGAUUAUGAAGUAAGUUCUGGGCAAUGUGUGAAUUUUGAUAAAUCGACAGUUUUCUUCAGUACAAACACAAAAGAUAGAGAAAGAGAGGUUGUUUCACAGAUCUUUGAGGUCAGAAGAGCAAAUGAUUUGGAAAGGUAUUUAGGGCUUCCUAGUAUGGUGGGAAAAAAAACGAGAUCGUCUUUUCAAACUCUGAAGGAUAGGCUAAAGCAAAAAAUCGAUAGUUGGAGUAUCAAGUUUCUCUCUCAAUGUGGAAAAGAAGUGUUUAUAAAAGCAGUUCUCCAAGCUAUCCCAAAUUACUCGAUGGCUUGUUUUUUACUUCCUAAGACUCUUUGUAUAGAUCUGGAUCAAAUUAUAGCCAAUUUCUGGUGGCAAAAGAGACAAAAUAAAAAAAGUAUCCAUUGGUGCGCUUGGAAGAAUAUUUGUUUACUUAAAGAAGAUGGAGGUCUCAGUUUUCGUAAUUUUGCACAGUUCAAUAUUGCGUUAUUAGCGAAGCAGGGGUGGCGUCUUAUUAAUUAUCCGGAUUCAUUAUUGGCCCGUGUUUUGAAAGCAAAAUAUUUCCCUAAUUUUGAUUUCUACGAAGCUCGGUUAGGGAAUUUACCUUCAUUUACCUGGAAGAGCAUUUGGG
rnacentral:lncRNA from 1 species